rnacentral:tRNA from 1 species
AGGUCGUUAGUUUAAGAAAAACACUUGAUUUCGGCUCAAGAACUUGUGGUUAAAAUCCGUAACUGCCUA